ACAGGUCCGGGAACAGAGGGGAAGGCGCGCAGCGCUUCUCCUCUGUUCCCGGGGCUUGCGGUGGGAGGAGGGUUUUUCCUCCCCACCGCCAACAUUCAGAACAGCAUUCUGAAUGUUGGCGGUGGGGAGGAAAACCCUCCUCCCACCGCAAGUCUUCAGGACAGCCAUCCGAAGGCUGGCGCGGGGAGAAGGUCUCUCCGCCCCACCGCCAGCCUUCGGAGCAGCCUUCCGAAGCCUGGCGGCGGGAGGAGGUCCGAGGACAGUGGGGAAGACGCGCUGCGCUUCCCUGCUGUCCCGGAGAUUUCCCUAUGGGCUUUCGUCUUGCGAAGGAAGCCCAUAGGGAAAUUCGUUUUGCGAAGCGCCUCCAAAACGGAAAACCCUUUCGUCUAGCGGGUUUUCCGUCUUGCAAGGCGUUCGUCUUGCGGGGCACCACUGUAU